CAAAACCAAAGGCGGCACAUUAGAAGGGUAAAUCCCAAGCUUUCAUAGAUCACACGCCCCAAUUGAGGAGAAGACCUACCAGUUUAAUCAGUUUCAGUUGGUCAUGAUGAUAAACAAACUAACUCCCUUAAAGCAAAAAAAAGAGAUUAUAUAUAGUAUGAUCAAUCAGAAUGUUUGAAAAUGCAAAGGCCUAGUAAACCGGGCACGCUCAGAUUGAAAAGUAUCUGCGCCUAGUUGGUUAUUGAAAAUAUGAAUUGGUUUGUUACAAAUUACUAGUAGAUUUGCACGUGCAACGCACGUAUCAUAAUCUAUAAUAGAAAAAUCCAUUUUAAAUCUUAUUUCUCUUUAGUGAGUCAUUGUUAUUGAGCCAUGUGCAUAUGUGUCAUGCCUAACGAUCCGGAUUUCUUAUACCAUCAUUAUUCAAUUCUCAUCUACUAAAAUAACAACUAAUUUUGUUCUAAAUAUGCCCUAUGAAAGUAAAGUCAAAUAAUACGACUUAAUUUUCAAAUAGUUGCUACUUCAUAAGUACUCCAUGAAAUUAUGAUAUGAUGCAAAAUAUAUCUGUUCAAGAGUGUCGAAAUAUCUCCCAUAAGUACUCCAUGAAAUUUAACAUCAAGAGGCCACAAAAUGACCUACAUGAUUUAUCCUCAACAAGAAGUUCAUGACAUAAUGUAAGAUCUUAACAGAGGGAGUAAUAUAAACAGAACAAAACUACUUUACGCAUGACAGUUUGUAGCCGAUUCUUGCACGACAACUGAUCCAAGGGUACUGAUCCAUGCAUCAGACAUAAGAGAGCUGCUAUGCAGACGACUUUCUUGGAUGAUGUUUUGGACGAUGCUACAUAUCCAACCAUAAACUAAAACUGAUGAAGCGCAGGAAAAAAUUGGACACGCCCCUCGCUGCCUCCUCUCAGUUCUCCACACCCACACACUUCACAUACCUUAUCCCAUCCACUGUCUCCCCACCGCUCUCAGGAAAAAAGCCGCCGCCACCGUCCUCGGUGCUCCCGGCGGUUACGGCGAAGGAGUCCCUGGGCAUGCUGCUGCUGCGCCAACGCCUCCGGCAUCCCACCGUCGUGGGCAACGCCAAAUACAACGCCGGUGCCGCAUAUACACACGCGCGCCGGUCACCGCCUCGGCCUCGGUGUGCCCGGCCGCGGAGGAGGCGCAGGAGCCGGCAGCGUAGACGGAGGGAGAGGAGUAGCGCGAGGGGUGCGGACGGAGGGGUCGCCGGGGACGUUUGGCGCGCCACCACGCGACGGUCCCGGGCCGCCGCGGGGAGGCAGAGAGGCAACACGGGAGGGUCUGCAAAUCAUGACACAAUUCAGCAGUUGAGCAACAAUCGAGUGAUUGGGUUAUGAUCAUUACCUGUUGGGAGUGGUAGGGGCCAUACGAAGUCCUUCAACCCUGUGAAUGUCAAGAGUGUUAUCAUAUAACUAUCUUUGAAUGAAUAGUAUUACGUUACCGGAAUACAGACAUAGUAGAGUUUUAUGUUCAACUCCCACUAACUGUUUACCUUCAGAGCUUUCUUGUGGUGCCUCUGCUUACCCAAAUGAAUUCAAUUUGCAUUAAUAUACUUAGUAUAAUGCUUUCACAUUUGGCGAUCUGCGUGCUGCCGUUGCCUUACACAUUUGAUCGCCAAUUCUCUAAGCAUCUCAAUUUGACAUAUCACCAUAAAAAAUUCAGGCACCUAGCUUGUUCGCGCACAAGUGAGGUUGCUUUAUCCAAACUCUAGUUAGGUUGCUGGUUAUCAAACUCUAGUUAUUUUGCUUUAUCCAAACUCUACUUAGGUUGCUGGUUAUCAAACUCUAGUUAUUUUGCUUUAUCCAAACUCUAUCUUAGGUUGCUUUAUCCAAACUUAAUAUAAUAAAAUACAGGGAACUUACUUGGACUGUGCGGAGUCUGAUGUUUCAACACAUCGCUAACCUGAUGCACAAUAAGAAAAACUCUAGUUAUCUUGCACGCGCAAUGCCCGUCUAGGUCUGUUAUCCAAAUGAAUUCAAUUUGCAUUAAUUUACUUUCAUAAUGCUACAGAAUAUAAUAGUUUGUAAUACUAUUCAUCUAGGUCUGCUACCCAAAUGAAUUCAAUUUGCAUUAAUAUACUUGGCAUAAUGUAACAGGAUGUAGUAGUUUGUAAUACUAUUCAUCUAGGUCUCUUUCAGAGUGUGGGUGAACCAUAUGCAGCUUGGUUGAACAAUGCAUGCGGAACGGACGUGUGGUUUCCUUUUGCGAUUGUUUUUUGGGCGCUAAUAAGCGCCGGUGCGCCGGCCCAAACUUUCGGCCGGUCCACUGCUAACCGCCCGAUCUACAUAACAUGAACAGU